GGGGAAUUUUGGACAAUGGGCGCAAGCCUGAUCCAGCCAUGCCGCGUGUCUGAAGAAGGCCUUCGGGUUGUAAAGGACUUUUGUCAGGGAAGAAAAGGCUGUUGCUAAUAUCAAUAGCUGAUGACGGUACCUGAAGAAUAAGCACCGGCUAACUACGUGCCAGCAGCCGCGGUAAUACGUAGGGUGCGAGCGUUAAUCGGAAUUACUGGGCGUAAAGCGAGCGCAGACGGUUACUUAAGCAGGAUGUGAAAUCCCCGGGCUCAACCUGGGAACUGCGUUCUGAACUGAGUGACUAGAGUGUGUCAGAGGGAGGUAGAAUUCCACGUGUAGCAGUGAAAUGCGUAGAGACGUGGAGGAAUACCGAUGGCGAAGGCAGCCUCCUGGGAUAACACUGACGUUCAUGCUCGAAAGCGUGGGUAGCAAACAGGAUUAGAUACCCUGGUAGUCCACGCCCUAAACGAUGUCAAUUAGCUGUUGGGCAACUUGAUUGCUUAGUAGCGUAGCUAACGCGUGAAAUUGACCGCCUGGGGAGUACGGUCGCAAGAUUA
rnacentral:rRNA from 1 species